GGCAGCAGUAGGGAAUAUUGCGCAAUGGACGGAAGUCUGACGCAGCGACGCCGCGUGAGCGAUGAAGGUCUUCGGAUCGUAAAGCUCUGUCCUUGGGGAAGAAGGCGAAAGCUUGACGGUACCCAAGAAGAAAGCCCCGGCUAACUACGUGCCAGCAGCCGCGGUAAUACGUAGGGGGCGAGCGUUGUCCGGAAUUACUGGGCGUAAAGAGCACGUAGGCGGGUGUUUAAGUCAGGUGUGAAAGACCGCAGCCUAACUGCGGGGUUGCACUUGAAACUGAACAUCUUGAGGGCAGGAGAGGUCAGUGGAAUUCCUGGUGUAGCGGUGAAAUGCGUAGAAAUCAGGAGGAACACCAGUGGCGAAGGCGACUGACUGGACUGACCCUGACGCUGAGGUGCGAAAGCGUGGGUAGCAAACAGGAUUAGAUACCCCUGUAGUC
rnacentral:rRNA from 1 species